rnacentral:lncRNA from 1 species
AUGAGGGCCCUGCUGCCCUCGGGGAGGCCCCAGGCAGGAAGAGUCGAAUGUGCCCCGGGGGCGGGGGCAGGGGCGGAGUCUCACCCUCACCCACAGCUGCCGGCCCUCGCCCCCCACCUCCCCGCCGCCCUUCCCCCAAAGCACCCAAGCAGCUGGCCCAAGGCUCCGGCACCUUCCGCGUCCCGUCAGGGGGCGUAUCCGAGGAAGGCCCAAGGUUCUGCCCUGGCUCCCUGGCCACUGGUCUCCUCCCAUGGGGCCCUUCAAGGCUGGGGACCCUCUGUGGCUGCAGAGCCAACCCUUGCUCCCGAGGGCCACCUGGGAGGCUACAAGGGCACGGCACCCUGGGCCCGCACCUGUGGAGACUCCACGGCCCGGGGCUCAGCCCGGCUCAGUGGGCGGUGGUGGGAGAGAAGGGAAGGCUCAGACCGCCCCCCCUCUCCGGCCCCCUCUCCGGCCCCCGGGGGGAGACUGGGGGCGGCAUGGCAGGAGAGGAAGAGGACGGGGAAGCCCGGGCUCCGGUUGCAGAGGCAAACCAGAACCCCAAAGCCACCUGUGGGCUCAGGGCUCGCGCGAGAGAGGCUACUCGGUUGGCCCCAGGGCCUUCCUCUCGCUUCAGCUGGCGGUCCUCUCGCUGAGGAGCUCCAGCUGUCCGUGGGGUCUCCGGAGUCUCCUUGCCGCAGGAGGGCAGAGACCAAGGACCACUCCCUGGCCGCCUUCCGUGUGCCCAGACUGCCCGCCACGCCCAGCCACAGCCCUGGAACCCAGCUCCAUCCACAAGGCAGAGAGCAGAGAGUUGCCUUCUGUCUCUGGGUCUGUCUGGCUGUCUCCCUCCACCUCUCCCUCUCGCUCUCUUUCUCUCCGUCUCUCCCUCGACUUCCACGGCUGUCUGUCCAGGUCAGGAGGAGCAGGGGCAUCGAGGCAGGUGGCUGCGACACCACGCAGCAGAGCAGGAUCAGUCACCGCUCUUUCCGAAGGAACUCAACCCCUCCCGUGGCGACAGGAAAGGGUGUGAAGGCGAGCGAAAGUCAGACGGACAGGACAGCUGACCCGGCCCGCAGAGGUUCUCAAGCCGGCUCUCAAGGCCCACCAAGAGCCCUGCCACCUGCUGCUCCUGCCCAAGUCAGCCUCCCCCGGGGCAGCUGCGCAAUUGGCAAUGGCUGGAAAUGUCUCAGGGUGGUGCUUAUGUCCCACAACUAG